rnacentral:rRNA from 1 species
UACCUGCGGAGGGAUCAUUACUGAGUUACCGCUCUAUAACCCUUUGUGAACAUACCUAACCGUUGCUUCGGCGGGCAGGGGAAGCCUCUCGCGGGCCUCCCCUCCCGGCGCCGGCCCCACCACGGGGACGGGGCGCCCGCCGGAGGAAACCAAACUCUAUUUACACGACGUCUCUUCUGAGUGGCACAAGCAAAUAAUUAAAACUUUUAACAACGGAUCUCUUGGUUCUGGCAUCGAUGAAGAACGCAGCGAAAUGCGAUAAGUAAUGUGAAUUGCAGAAUUCAGUGAAUCAUCGAAUCUUUGAACGCACAUUGCGCUCGCCAGCAUUCUGGCGAGCAUGCCUGUUCGAGCGUCAUUUCAACCCUCAAGCACCGCUUGGUUUUGGGGCCCCACGGCACACGUGGGCCCUUAAAGGUAGUGGCGGACCCUCCCGGAGCCUCCUUUGCGUAGUAACUAACGUCUCGCACUGGGAUUCGGAGGGACUCUUGCCGUAAAACCCCCCAAUUUUUUACAGGUUGACCUCGGAUCAGGUAGGAAUACCCGCUGAACUUAAGCAUAUCAAU